AUGCAAAUCAACAGCACUUUCCUUCUGAUAUUCCGAAGAUCUCAGGGUUUACUAUUGUGCCCUUCUACGCCGAGGAAAGUUCAACUUCGUAUUAUUGUAUGCGACUUCGGGCUCGCUCACCCCAGUUCCACACCCACUCGAUUUCUCCAAACAAUGGCGGUAACGUCAAGAUUCAGCUGUCCCCAGAGCGGGAGACUUCCCGGAGGUCCGCGGCUGGGUUGGAGCUGCGGUUCUCCGCAGGCUAACACGAGAGUUUCUUCUUGUGGAGGGCAUGGGAGUCUCCCUUCUACCUCUAAGAAUUCCUUUGUGAGCUUGAGUAUGGAAAUAAAAG
rnacentral:lncRNA from 13 species